UCUUCUCCCCGUUCGUUUCUUCUCCGUUCCGCUACUCACCGAUUUAUAUCUCUCGGCUCCUCCAAUCCUCCCCCUCCUCCUCCUCUCUAAUUCCAGUCAAUUCCCAAUCCUGGAGACUGAGCGGCACAAAAGGAAUGGCACGGUAAGUGGAUUCCAUCUCAGAUCUCCUCUUCUCCUCCUUGCAGCUACCGAGUGAUCUCUGGACGCAGCGGUUUAUCGAUCUCUUCCUGGCCUUGUUGGUCCCUCUUUCAUGGUGGAUUAGAUCGAUUGCUCCUUUCUCUUUGAGGUUACAAAGCGGGAAUCGGUCGAUAAACCUCUGCAUCCGGACUUCAGUGUACAUCCAUCCAUCAGACCUCUCGUUCCCUCACUUCGCUUUGGUUUUUCCCUUAAAUUUCUGAGAUAGAUGAUUGGGGACUAAGGAAGUUGUUCGUGUGAGCUGUUAGCGCUGUUUGAUGUGAUCCAUUUGAUGCAGAUCGUGAUUGAUUUUUGCAGAUAUGAUGAAGGUACUUCGCAGAUCUUUAUAGUUGAUAAAUGAUAGUGUCACCAGAAGUAAGAUCGUGGUGAAUUAUGAUGAUGAAUGGAGAGAAUAUUUAAUAUGCUCGAUCUAUGGUCUCCUUAUGCCUUUCAUUUUGCAUCCACGUUUUUGAUUCGUUUUCCAUUUCAUUACCGUAUGAUCUAUACAUCUUUGGUGGAAAAAAAUGUUCCUGGUCCUUGCUGACGCAUGUAGUGGGGUAAAUGGACAGCAGUGAGAUAGAAAUCUUUGUUUAGUACGGAAGCUGGCUUUAUUGGUUAGUUUGUCAAAAAUGAUUGAUUGGAAUAUAUUCUGAGAUGGCUUAAACUUGGUUCUGCGAGGAAUAAAUGGGAAGAUAAAGUAAAGCUGGUCAGAUUAGUGUGACAUAAAGGCAUGGUGUCCUAUGAAGAUGAUUGAGAUAUAUUCCAUAUUUCGGUCAUAUAAAGCUUAGCUACAGUAAUAUUUUUCUCUAAAUUUCUCCCAUUACAUAGAGAACAAAUUCAGGAUCCCCGAGUUUUACCCAAUACGAGAUCUGGUGUACCUGUUGCAUGUUUAACUCACAACAUGAGAAGUCUUAGCCUCGUAUUUGGAAGUCAACUUCACUGGUUUUGGAAGAUCCCUUGUGCUACCUCGAUUGUGAAAUCUCAUGAUGCAUCCUUACAAGUUGUGGAUGCAAGAAUUUCCCCUUAUCAGACAACUAUGGUUGAAGGAAUGCAUAGCUGACACUGAAACCUCUAUUUUUAUUAUGUUUGUAAUGCUUGUAGGUGUAUCUGUAUUAAUCUAUUUAAACAUGAAUAUGUACACAGGAAAUGAUACAGUAAAUGCAUAUUUGAUGUGAGAGUAUGAUAUGUUGGUGAUAUAUGUCUUUCUUUGUGUGUAUUAUGUGAAAUAACGAAAUUCCAAUGACUGUAUGAAUGGAUAGGACUGUUGUUGAUCUACAUAUGGAAAUAUUUGCAUUCAUAUUAAUUCAUAUACUUUUGUUAAAUCACAUGCAUAUAACAUAGCUACCUGUUUAUAGCAUGUCUAUUGUUGGAUAUGAUUUCCCUUGACUGCCUGGGUUUUUGUAUUGCAUUCUUGUUGCAAAAGCAGAACUUCCUGUGUUUGUGAAUUUCACUACCAUGCUUCCGGAAAGCAAUUAGUCAAGUACACUAAUGCACUGAAAGUGUGCCAGGCUUUGAUUUUUGGGUAACAUGGGUAAUAUCCUUGAUAUGCUAUAAUAGACAAGGUGAAUGAGAGUAAAUUAUAACCAUUUUGGUCAUCUAUGUAUCCGAACUUAGUUUUCCUUGAUGUCUAAAGGGUCAUAGCAUCAUGUAUAGUUCUUAUAUAUUUUGUCUAAGUUCCAGUUGAGGCCCAGAAAAGGUAUGGCAAACAUGUAACAACGAGCAAAAGCUGGUGGGUGGAGUACAAACAUGGUGAUAUUCAAUUAUUGUCUUUCUUAUUUUUUCUUUGUUUGUCUACUUUCCUAGCCAGAUUAUUGCCUUUUCUAUUUAUUAUAUAGAAACUAGAACAAUGUUACAUGCUAGGGCAUGGCUGACUAAACUUGAACACAAUAUUCCUUUUGUAUUUAUCGGUAUUCACCAUAUAUUAGUUGGUAGAUGAGUCAACUAUGUUUCUUGAGGGCAGCUUAUUUUCUUCUGUAUAUGUAAAAUGUCAUGCUAGUACUAUUUAUUCUUAGUUGAAUGUAAAAGCCUUCUUGUAGUUAGUUAUCUUUUCUCCUUCUGUAUGCUCUUAUAAAUCUUGAUAACUGUUAAAGGGCAUCAUGUCAUUUUUAUCUUUUAGAACAUUGGAAAGGAAUUGAAAACAUGACUAAUUAUACAAGUCAUUCAUUUCAUUUAGUUUACUAAAACACACUCUAGUUUCUUCUUUAUUUUAUGUACUCGUCUGUACUUAGUAUCUGUCAUAAAGUAUUUUAGUUUGGUGCCUAAAAGCUAGACUCUGUUGUUAGUAUUGGAUAUGUUUCUGUAAAAUAGAAAGUGGGUUUGGGUGCACAAGGCUCGCACCAAUAUUGUUAGUGUCCAAAAAGUCUAUGUGAAAUUAUAUUAUUGAAGUUGCUCAUUGAAGAAUAUAAAAAAUCCUUUAUUAAUUUACCCAAAUUUGUUCCACUUGAGUCCCGGACAUGCCUAAUUUUAUAUUUGGGCUACCCUCCUGCUAACUUAAUUUUUAGAUUAUGCAUAUUGGUUUUCAAGUUCAAUUACUUUUAUUUUUUAAUAGGCCUAUAUGGUCAGGCACCAUAUAAACUCACUGUCCUGAUCCUAUUUUCUCUUCAAAUUUUAUCUUUGCAUCGUUAUAAGAUUCAGAUAUGGCCAUUUGACCCUCAAUUUUGUGCACCUUCCUUCAAAUGAAUUUGAAAAGUAUGAUUGGAUUUCUUGCAAUCAUGGGGAUCAGUUAAAAACAUAAGUUCCGCAGUCUGCAAAACUCUUUUCUGAACAAAUCUAUUUCCUCUACUGGUGUGAUGGCAUCGGGUGUAGGUUCAACUUUAGAUUCUAGAAUUUGAUACUUCUAUAAUUGAUUUUGAUAAUUUUAAUGAUUUAUGGAUACAUGAUUGACAAUGGAAUUCAUGGAACUUUUGGUAGUUAUCUAGCCAAUAUAAUAAAGUAAAAGUGUUAAGUUUUUCUAUUGCACAUAUUUAUGAUAUUCUCUGCCAGCAAAAUUGGAAAUUUUUGUUACGACAAUCUUUUUUUAUUACACAUGCCAUUUGUCACCAACUUAUCAGGCUGAUCCUAUUGUGCAUGAAUGGCUUGCUUAUCAAUGAGUUUUGCACAUACCAUUGCAGUCAUGUGUUCCCUGUCAAGCGUGCAGGCUAAUUUGUAGAGACAUGUUUUACUCGACCAUGUUUCAAUUCUAGGCCAUGCUAAAGAAUAAAAUCUCUCUCGACAAAUAGAAUAUUAUGGGUGUGAUCUGAUAUGCUGACAAGCUCUAAUCUCUGGUUAGUGAAGGGACCUUCAUUUAUUAGCUGAAUGAUUUAGCAAAGUUGUAGUUGACACUGCAGAACUUGCUACAGUGUGGCCAGUGAUACAUAUGCAAGCAAUAGGAACUGCUGCAUAAUAGUUUCCUUAUUGCUAGCUCCAAGUGAUGAAUAUGGUGCUCAGCCAUCCUUGUAUGCCUUCUCAAGAUUAAUAUCAUAUGGCUCUGGGUAUCUUCUUUUCUUCUGCACAUGCUCAUUAAGAUCCCAGUCCUGUUUGACAUGACUUUAUUGCUACUGCUCUUCUGGCAUUAUAGUGAAAGCCAAGCCAUGAGACUGAUUGUGGACCACUUCUACAGCAUUUUAUGUUGUACUACUUCAAUACUUGUUCGACUGUUCGAUGCAGUGGAUUGAUUUCUUAGCAGUGAUUACGGGUCCUCCCUGAAACACUCAUUUGUUCUGUGACAUCAAUGCAGCAGACAGGUUAAAAGCAGGGAAGAGACUCAGGGAUGAAAGAGGUGGUGCAUCCCAGACGCCAUUAAUGUUUGUCCUCAUCUAGCUUUAGCUGGUCUAUCAGACGUAAGUUAUCUGAAAGAAAUCUGAUCCGCUAUCAUCCCUUGUCAAGAAGGGUGAGAAGACCGUCAAACGUUUAUUGUAUAUUUAUCUCGGCCUAAUGCUGGGCUCAAACCCAACUCCUUUGUGAGCAGAACGAAUCGGGCUCAAACAACCAACUACAGUCUGUUAAUGUGACGCUACAUGAGUUGGGCUAAAGCUUCGCACGUUGCGGAACAAAGCUAUGCCUUUGUGUCGGCUGGGGCCAAGCGGCGGAGGGGGUGAGGAGCUCCCUGUCGUCUUGGGUGGUGAUGUCAGACAUGACGAUGACUCCGUGGAUUACACCACCACGAUAAAUUUGAUUUAAUCCCUUUCGCCCCUUUGAUGCUCUUUGAUUGAUUCCAGUGGCUUAUCUUAUGGUGGAGCAGUUUCCGAACAAGCUGGUAGAGUAUUGCCUCCCCAAGUAACGGUCUCCACUUCACCGACCAGUGACUGCAUGAUACGGCCCCUCUUUGCGAAUGGCCGAUGGACGCCUCUCCGGAUGGAUGGAAGUACGUUGCAACGCCGAGACUCUCUCACCAUAAACAUACGCAGCUCAUGAGACCAGGAAAAGGCCUCUUCUCAUGGUCAAGAUUCUACGCUCCUAAAAUAAUCAUCAACGUGAUGACAGCGGGCAAGCAUUAUUGAGGUUGUCUCUGAAUCACCCUAUGAACAUAGGGUUCGGAUCAUUUGGCUUCAUCUCAUCCCCUACCUCUCUCAAAAAUGACUUGGAACUGCACCUCCUAAACAGGAAGUCGGGGGUGGCAUCACGGCACUCAUCAUAUCUACCUCUCAUUGGACCAACACCCGUAUCUAUCUCUGUCUCUCUUGUUUAAAGAAAUCAUAUCUUUAGUCAAAAUAUCAUAUCUCUCUUUUAAUUUAUAAUCAUAUAUAUAUAUAUAAGCAUAAAAUCUGUAAUAUAUUAUAUUAUAGUUUUUGAGUGAAUCGUAAGAUGAUGGACACAAAUGUGGUGUCACUAUAACUAUUGAGACCGAGAUUUAGCAGACGAUUUGGUAUCAUCCGCAGCACUCCAUGCUCUGUGCUUUGCUAAUGGAGGAACUCAGGGCGGGCAUCAGUGCCGGGAGAAGGAGAUCUUCUCGGUCAACCUGGAAAGCAGAGGACUGCAAGUUCCGUGCCCUUGUCAUGGUAUCUCCACCACCCUUUUGGGCACAUCACAUCAAGCAUUCUCCACCGUUGGCAUGUUCCUUCCCUUCUCCCCCACGCUAUAAAUGGGGGAAGCCCGGCGUUCCUCACUCUCAGCCAAACGGCGAGGAGAAAGAGAGAGACAGACGCACGCAGAAAUGGGAGGAGGUCAGUCGUCUUCCAGGUCUUCUUCCUGCUUCUUCUUCUUCAGGUCGCAUCGCAGAGACGAAGAAGCUGAUGGCGAGCCGAAGUACACGUCGAGGAAGGUCCGGCCGAGCGACGAGGACCGAGGCCGCUGGGUUGGCGAGCCGGACGUGGAUGUGAAGGCCUCCGCCUUCAUUGCCAAGUUCCAUGAGACUCGUUUCAUGGACCUCGAAAGGCAAACCAUGGUGGUGUGAUGUGUGAUUCACUUCAGCUUCCUCAUCAUAGUACAAUACCUAUGCUCUCUCUCUUUCUCUCUCUCUCUCUCUCUCUUUCUUCCUUGUAGUUUGCUUGAUGUUGCAAAGUGUGUAGGCUGUAAUGAUUGAUUAGGAGAAUAAAACCGUAAUGAUAUUAAUUUGUUA